CCCUAGUAACUGCGAGUGAAGCGGGAAAAGCUCAAAUUUAAAAUCUGGUGGUCUUUGGCCGUCCGAGUUGUAAUUUAGAGAAGCGUCUUCCGCGCUGGACCGUGCACAAGUCUCCUGGAACGGAGCGUCGUAGAGGGUGAGAAUCCCGUCUUUGGCAUGGACACACCAGGGCUUUUGCGAUGCGCUCUCGAAGAGUCGAGUUGUUUGGGAAUGCAGCUCAAAAUGGGUGGUGAACUCCAUCUAAAGCUAAAUAUUGGCGAGAGACCGAUAGCGAACAAGUACCGUGAGGGAAAGAUGAAAAGCACUUUGGAAAGAGAGUGAAACAGUACGUGAAAUUGUUGAAAGGGAAACGCUUGAAGUCAGUCGCGUCGUCCGAGACUCAGCCUCGCCUCGGCUUGGCGUACUUCUCGGCCCGACGGGUCAGCAUCAAUUUCGCCUCUCGGAUAAUGGCGAGGGAAAAGUGACACCUUUACGGUGUGUUAUAGUCUCUCGUCGCAUGCGAGGGUCGGGAUUGAGGAACUCAGCACGCGCCCUCGGGCGUCGGGGCCUUCGCCCACGAUACGUGCUUAGGAUGUUGGCGUAAUGGCUUUAAACGACCCGUCUUGAAACACGGACCAAGGAGUCUAACAUGCCUGCGAGUGUUCGGGUGGAAAACCCGUGCGCGCAAUGAAAGUGAAAGUUGGGACCUCCGUCGUGGAGGGCACCGACGCCCGGACCAGACCUUCUGUGACGGCUCUGCGGUAGAGCAUGCAUGUUAGGACCCGAAAGAUGGUGAACUAUGCCUGAAUAGGGUGAAGCCAGAGGAAACUCUGGUGGAGGCUCGUAGCGAUUCUGACGUGCAAAUCGAUCGUCAAAUUUGGGUAUAGGGG
rnacentral:rRNA from 1 species